rnacentral:rRNA from 1 species
UACAGAGGUGGCAAGCGUUGUUCGGAAUUACUGGGCGUAAAGGGCGCGUAGGCGGCCUUCUAAGUCGAACGUGAAAUCCCCGGGCUCAACCCGGGAACUGCGUCCGAUACUUCCGAGCUGGAGGUAGGUAGGGGAGAUCGGAAUCCUGGUGUAGCGGUGAAAUGCGCAGAUAUCAAGGAGGAACACCUAUUGCGAAGGCAGCUCGCUGGGACGUAACUGACGCUGAGACGCGAAAGCGUGGGGAGCAAACAGG